rnacentral:rRNA from 1 species
AUUGAACGCUGGCGGCAGGCCUAACACAUGCAAGUCGAACGAGUGGCGGACGGGUGAGUAAUGUCUGGGAAACUGGCUGAUGGAGGGGGAUAACUACUGGAAACGGUAGCUAAUACCGCAUACCAUCAGAUGUGCCCAGCGGGGAUUAGCUAGUUGGUGGGGUAACGGCUCACAAAGGCGAAGAUCCCUAGCUGGUCUGAGAGGAUGACCAGCCACACUGGAAUGGAGACACGGCCCAGACUCCUACGGUAGGCAGCAGUGGGGAAUAUUGCACAAUGGGGGAAAGCCUGAUGCAGCCAUGCCGCGUGUAUGAAGAAGGCCUUCGGGUUGUAAAGUACGUUCAGCGGGGAGGCGUUACCCGCAGAGGAAGCACCGGCUAACUCCGUGCCAGCAGCCGCGGUAAUUC